AAGCAGCCAAUACCAUAUGAGAAACACAGAAGGAAAAGGAAUCACCUGGAAAGUCCAUAAGCAAGAUACGCAUGCAAUUUUGUUUAGUUACAUUCCAAGCAGUACUUAUUAUAAACAGGCACUUCUUUUUUAUUUUUUUUUUCAAUUCUUUUGCUCAAAUUACAGAACAGAAUUAAAGCAUAGCAAGGACGUAGCAUGAAACUAAACCUACAUUAUAUCAAUACCUACCUGUCUAUAAAAUACUACUACCUAACAAGGAAGAAAGGUCCAAUGUGCAUGGUGAAGGGGAGGGGAGAGGAAGGUCUCAUACACCUCACAAAAAAAGAGUUUAAGUCACCUUAUGAAAGUUCAUCCGGAGCCAGAACAACCUGUACAAGAAAAUGCAACAACGGACAACCACCUAAUACAAAAGUCCUGACCAAAGCAACAUUUGUCAAGAGUUAUUAGUGACUGAACAGCAGUCUCAACUGAGUUUCCAAGAAAUUAUCUCACAUCCUCAUGUUGAAGGCUUCAGAUGACUCCUUUGCCACAGCUUCCAAUACAUUUUUUUUUUUCUUUAGUUUGUCAAUCAGAUAACGGAACUACCCAAUGUCAGCUCAUGGAGCUCACUUAGCAUCCACUCCUCCCCAGUUUGACCGCCAAGGACUAUAGCCCUUGUGCCUCCUACAACACAGGUACUAUGUCCCCAAGCAAAUCUUGGGGGUCUCCCAGGUACAUUUAGAAUCCUCCAAGUAGGCUUCUCAUCUGUUGGAUCCAGGAGGUACAGUUGCGAGGCAGAAUGAAGACCAGCAACAGAGCCACCAAAGAUUAGGAUUCUACCCCCUGGAAGACUCACAGCAACAUGAUCAAGCCUUGGAGGAGGAGCUACGCCUCCAGGGUUUCCAGAACCUGGCAUUCCACUCCCAGUAACACACCUCCAACAAGGUUCCUCCUCACUUAAAUCCAUAGUGAAAACGUCACUAGAACGAAAUCGAAGGGGACCACUCUUGGCCAAACCUCCAAACAUCAAUAUUUUCCUUCCACCAUAAACUGAAAGAGUAUGACCCAGCCGAGAAGGUGGGGUCCAUGCUACUGGUAUUUCCCUCCAAACAGGUUUUUCCAUUGAUAGAUCAAGCAGAAAUGUAUCACUAAGAAGUACUCCAGAAUCUGCACACCCACCAGAGACUAUCAACUUGGUGCCAUCAAGAGUGCAGGAACUAUGCCAUGAUCGUGGGAGUGGUGGAGCCAAUCCAGAAAUCUCACGCCAAGUUGGAGGCUUAGCAUCCAAAUCCAAAACAAAGACAUCAUUGAGUAAGCCUUGCCUUCCACAACCUCCAAACACCACCAAAUGAGACCCGUUAACACAAGAAAGUGUAUGACCCCACCGUCCAGGAGGAGGGGAGCUCACUUGGACAUGUUGCCACUCAGGGUUGCUGGAGUUCAAAUCCAACACAAAGGUGUCAUUCAUUGGUUGCAUGUUAACACCCUCCCCACCAAAGAGGACAACUCGGUUCCCUACUGCACAAGCACUAAAAUUGCACCUUGAAGGUUCAACUGCACCUCCAACAGUUAGCUUUCUCCAUGCUGCUGCUUCAAGAGUAGUUAAUUCUCUUGCAAGGCGUCCCCACCCAAGUCUCUUUGCACCAGGCACAGUCUCUAAAACACGAGUGGUUUCACUACCCCAAGCAUUUUGGCAAACCAUUCUCCAAAGGUCCUCAUUCUUAGUCAGCGCAUAGAGCCGCCUACAGACUGAACCUACAGAUGCAAUGUCCCUUGGUGUCAAAAGUGAAAGUAUUUUGAGAGACAGUACCUCAUCACUCAAUUGUAGUAUCCCACAAACCUCACGACAAACACUGCGGUCCCCUACUGGGAUAGGUCGAUAAGUCAAAAAACCAGAAUGAAACUGAUCAGCUGAUUUUGCAGACUCCUUUAAUGAAGAACCAUGCACAGGGCCUAGAUCAAUAUUUGCUUCUGUAAAGAAUUGGAUUCCAAUAACAUGAGUUAUGGUUUCAUCAUCUCCAUAUAUAGGAAUAAGCCGCAACCUGUUCUUUAUAGGAGUUCCAUCUUUUCUGAAGUUCAAUAAUUCACCUUGGAAUUCAAUACCCUCCUCAAGGCAUCUUCUUAUUUCGGCAACCACAGUUGAUUCCACUAAUGAAUGCCUUCUUUUGGCAAAUGGACCUCUACAUUGCAAGAAGCGGCAGUUAUGCCCAAGCACUUCCUCGGCUCGAUAGCCAGUAGCCAUCUCAAAAACAGUGUUGACAUAGAUAAUAGGAUGGUCAGGCUCGAGCGCAUCAGUGACAAUGAACCCACAAGGCGCCGUUUGGAGCAAAUUCUCAACAGGGAAAGGGAGCGGACCAGCAGCACCACCAGAAUCAGCAUCAUCGUUAAGCGUGAAUCCGUCAUCCUCGUCCCCACUGAGAUCCGAAUUACUAUCCCACUCCAUUACGAGAAUCGAGGCAAAAGGGAAAAAAUAAUCUAACCCAUGAAUGAAAGAAGCAAAAACUGACAAAUAGAAGAAAAGGGUUGGAAGAGAAUUACAAGGAUCAAAAUGGAUUUUACAGAGGAGGGAGUGCGAAACAGUUAGUUGUGUCCAAAGUGCAAAGGAAAUCAAGAUGGCGAGACAACGAGUGGCGGGCAAUGUUUGACAACAUAGCUAUU
rnacentral:misc_RNA from 1 species